GUGGGAGGGGGCUUGCCCCCGAUUGCGGUGGGUCAGUAUCAGAUGUAUUGACUGACAUUACCCCAUCGGGGGCAAGCCCCCUCCCAC
rnacentral:misc_RNA from 1 species